CUCCGGGCGGAGACUCCCGGCUGGUGACUGGGACAGCGCGGCGUGGCGGGAUGUGGCGGACAGGAAGCCCGCCGCGCGCCGGAGAAGGCCGGCCCUCGCCCGCUGCAGCCAUCCAUGCGUCAGGGAGCCGCGGGGCCUCGUGAAUUGUUAGAAAAUACUGGCAAGCCUAAGGAAGAAAUUGAAAACAUGUACUCUUACCCAAAGGUAACCACUAUUAAUUUUUAUAUAUAUUUCCAGACCUUUCUUUCCUAUUGAUUCCUAUCGAUAAGAUCUUUUGCACAAAAAUGGAGUCACUCAUUAUAUAUUAAUUGUAAAUUGGAAUCAUGCUGUUGUAAUAUGCCUUUUUUUCUCCUCCAAACAAUAUGCUGUGAUUGUCUUUCCACAUCAAUAAAUAUUCUACUUAAUAUCCUCUAUCUGAAUGGUUAUAUAGUAUUUCGUUCAGGGUUGUACCAAAAUGUAUUUAAUGAGCCCUUUAUUGUUAGUCAUUUAAGUUGUUUAUAUUUUUUGUUGUUCUUGUAAGCCAUGCUGAAAUGAAUAUCUUUGCAUAUGUCUUCUUUCCUUCAUUUAAAUUCCUCGAAGUGAAAUUACUCUGUCAAAGGAACUAUGCAGGCGUUUGGGAAACACAUUUCUGGAUUGCCUUCUAGAAGGAUUGUGCUAAUUUGCACACUUACCAGCGUUGGGUAGAAAUGCCUGGUCUCCCGUAGCCAGAUAACUCUUGGUAUUUUAAUUGUUUUUCAUUUUUACCAGUCUGUUCAUCAAUAAAUUCUUUUACCCUUUUG